rnacentral:rRNA from 1 species
UACGAAGGGGGCUAGCGUUGCUCGGAAUCACUGGGCGUAAAGCGCACGUAGGCGGACUCUUAAGUCGGUGGUGAAAUCCUGGAGCUCAACUCCAGAACUGCCUUCGAUACUGAGAGUCUCGAGUCCGGGAGAGGUGAGUGGAACUGCGAGUGUAGAGGUGAAAUGCGCAGAGAUCGGGAGGAACACCCGUAGCGAAGGCGGCACUCUGGGCCGGUACUGACGCUGAGGAGCGAAAGCGUGGGGAGCAAACAGG